UACGUAGGCAGCAAGCGUUGUUCGGAGUUACUGGGCGUAAAGGGUGCGUAGGUGGCUCUAUAAGUAUGGUGUGAAAUCUCCCGGCUUAACUGGGAGGGUGCGCCGUAGACUGUGGGGCUAGAGUGUGGGAGAGGAAAGUGGAAUUCCUGGUGUAGCGGUGAAAUGCGUAGAUAUCAGGAGGAACACCGGUAGUGUAAACGGCUUUCUGGACCAUAACUGACACUGAGGCACGAAAGCGUGGGUAGCAAACAGG
rnacentral:rRNA from 1 species